rnacentral:rRNA from 1 species
AAUCAACGCUGGCGGCGUGCCUCAGACAUGCAAGUCGAACGAUUAAAGCUCUCUUCGGAGAGUGUAUAGAGUGGCGCACGGGUGAGUAACACGUAAGUAAUCUACCUUUGAGUGGGAAUAACGUCCGGAACGGACGCUAAUACCGCAUAAUGCAGCGGCAUCGCAAGAUGACAGUUAUUAAAGAUUUAUCGCUUGAGAGGAGCUUGCGGCAGAUAGCUAGUUGGUAAGGUAAUGGCUUACCAAGGCUACGAUCUGUAACCGGUCUAAGAGGACGGUCGGUCACACUGACACUGAAUAACGGGUCAGACUCCUAC